rnacentral:tRNA from 5 species
AGGGGUAUCGCCAAGCGGUAAGGCACCAGAUUUUGAUUCUGGCAUUCGUUGGUUCAAAUCCAGCUACCCCUGCCA